UACGUAGGGGGCGAGCGUUGUCCGGAAUCAUUGGGCGUAAAGGGCGCGUAGGCGGCUCGGCACGUCCGUUGUGAAAUCGCCCGGCUCAACUGGGCGGGGUCGGCGGAUACGGCCGAGCUGGAGCAAGCUAGGGGGUAAUGGAAUUCCCGGUGUAGUGGUGGAAUGCGUAGAUAUCGGGAGGAACACCAGUGGCGAAGGCGGUUACCUGGAGCUUUGCUGACGCUGAUGCGCGAAAGCGUGGGGAGCGAUCCGG
rnacentral:rRNA from 1 species